UACAGAGGGUGCAAGCGUUAAUCGGAAUUACUGGGCGUAAAGGGCGCGUAGGCGGCCUGUUAAGUCGAACGUGAAAUCCCCGGGCUCAACCCGGGAACUGCGUCCGAUACUGGCAGGCUUGAAUCCGGGAGAGGGAUGCGGAAUUCCAGGUGUAGCGGUGAAAUGCGUAGAUAUCUGGAGGAACACCGGUGGCGAAGGCGGCAUCCUGGACCGGUAUUGACGCUGAGGCGCGAAAGCCAGGGGAGCAAACGGG
rnacentral:rRNA from 1 species